GAAGCUCCUCCUCCAAGACAGUCACGUAUGACGUGCCCCGCUUGCCCACACUUGAAACACCUCCCACGUCACUGCUCGCACACUCCAACUCGAUGAUCUCCGCCGCAAAAGAUACACCGUUGCGCUCCACGGCCCUUAGACUGCGAUCGUGGAUACUUCGGGGGCUUCUUAGAACUCGACUGUCCCCCCGAACCACCGCCCGUUCGCUUCCUCCCCUUAUUCUUCUCGAACGCAUCACGCUCCUCACGUUCGCAAGCAUUCCCGUGCUCGACCCACAACGCACGAUCCAACACCUCAGCAAAGGUGC
rnacentral:lncRNA from 1 species